ACUUUGAAGAGAGAGUUCAAAAGGGCGUGAAACCGCUUAGAAUAAAACGGACGGAGCCGUCUGUGGCCCUUCGGAAUCAGUCGAAUCGACGCGUGAAGGCGAGUACGACGCGAAAACACGGAACGAAAGUCCGGUCGUCUCGUAGUAAAAUAGUAGCCUGCUUCGUUCGAUGCAUUUCCGAAGGGUAAGCGCCGCGACCGAUGUCGAAGGCUAGUGAAACCGUCGGAUUGAGGUAGAGCUCGUUCGCGAGUCUCGUUACCAGUCCUUCGGUACGAAUAGAAAUCGCUAGACCCUAGCAUCGAGAAUAUAUAAUACAGAACGUSGGUGAACUAUAUACGCUCACCCGUUACGACGGAAGUGCGGCCGUUCGAUCGUCGCCUGCUCGCAGGUUACGGUCAGUAAUCAGGCUCGUAUCCGAAGUCGUCAGUGACGUUUCGACGUUCAGGAGUCCGCGGCGUCCGAGUCGGUCACCCGUCCGACCCGUCUUGAAACACGGACCAAGGAGUCUAACGUAAGCGCGAGCUAAUGGGCGGAAAACCCAUAAGCGAAAUAAAAGUAAAAGCCGUUUCGGACGGCCGAGGUACGAUCCCGAAGAACGAAAGUAUAUCUAAGGGCGCAGUACCGUCCCGUCCCGACCGCUCGUCGGUAGGGCGGAGAUAGAGCGCCUACGUUGGGACCCGAAAGAUGGUGAACUAUGCCUGAGCAGAGCGAAGCCAGAGGAAACUCUGGUGGAGGUUCGUAGCGGUUCUGACGUGCAAAUCGAUCGUCAGACUUGGGUAUAGGGGCGAAA
rnacentral:rRNA from 1 species